rnacentral:tRNA from 1 species
GGGCCCGUGGGGUAGCGGAUUAUCCUUUCGGCCUUCGGAGCCGAACACCCGGGUUCGAAUCCCGGCGGGCCCACCA